rnacentral:rRNA from 1 species
AAUCUUCCACAAUGGGCGAAAGCCUGAUGGAGCGACGCCGCGUGGGGGAUGAAGGCCUUAGGGUUGUAAACCUCUAAAAGAGGGACGAUAAUGACGGUACCUCUUGAAUAGCACCGGCUAACUCCGUGCCAGCAGCCGCGGUAAUACGGAGGGUGCAAGCGUUAUCCGGAAUCACUGGGCGUAAAGGGCGCGUAGGCGGUUUGUUAAGUCCGAUGUUAAAUCCCGAGGCUCAACCUCGGAUCAGCGUUGGAUACUGGCAGGCUCGACGGUUGGAGAGGCGAGUGGAAUUACCAGUGUAGCGGUGGAAUGCGUAGAUACUGGUAGGAACACCCAUUGCGAAGGCAGCUCGCUGGACAACACGUGACGCUGAGGCGCGAAAGUGUGGGGAGCAAACCGG